AUACGUAGGGAGCGAGCGUUGUCCGGAAUUACUGGGUGUAAAGGGUGCGUAGGCGGGACUGCAAGUCAGAUGUGAAAUGCCGGGGCUCAACCCCGGAGCUGCAUUUGAAACUGUGGUUCUUGAGUGAGGUAGAGGUAAGCGGAAUUCCUAGUGUAGCGGUGAAAUGCGUAGAUAUUAGGAGGAACAUCGGUGGCGAAGGCGGCUUACUGGGCCUUGACUGACGCUGAGGCACGAAAGCGUGGGGAGCAAACAGGAUUAGAUACCCUGGUAGUCCACGCGGUAAACGAUGAAUGCUAGGUGUUGCGGGUAUCGACCCCUGCAGUGCCGGAGUCAACACAAUAAGCAUUCCGCCUGGGGAGUACGGCCGCAAGGUUGAAACUCAAAUGAAUUGACGGGG
rnacentral:rRNA from 1 species